UGCAAACAAAUGGCAUUAAAUGAAUAUGAAUAUUUCCAUAUAUUCAUGAAUUGGUGUCAAAAUAUAAGUAUAUUUAUCCAUAAUAUAAUUAAUUUCUUGCAAAAUGUUCGAGAAUUGUAAGUGGUUUCCUUGACGACGGCUUCUUGAAACUACUAUUCAACAUCAAGUUGUUAGCAACCUAUAUAUUUAAAUUUUUUUCAAUUUUGACAUGUAACUUGUGUGGUCAACUUGAGGGCAAGUUCUUGAGCAUGUAAGUGCAGCGUUUCGCAAAUGUUCACGCACAUUGUGUGGUUUCAGUAAAAAUAUUAAAAAAAUACUUGGCAGCCCAGAAAAAUUUUGAAUACAUACAAGAGAGCUCAUGCACCGCCACCAUUUUAUUUCACUUUGAAGUAGCCCUCGCCAUUCCAUUAAUUUCAUAUAUGUGAAGUGAACAAACACCAGUUUUCUUGUGAAUAAACCUGGUUAAUUUAAUUAAAAUAGUUAAUUCUUAACAAAUUGAAAAUGAUUAAGACAGAAAAUAUUUAUCAAGUGGCCCAUAAACCUGAGGAGCACCAAAAUGGUGGAGAGGUAGAAGUUGAUCACCUUCGCAAAAUGUUUAUUGGAGGUUUGUCAGCAGUAACAACUGAAGAGUCUCUCCGGAGUUUUUAUAAGCAAUGGGGCGACGUAGUUGAUGCUAUAGUUAUGCGUGAUCCAGCAACAAAGCGUUCCCGCGGAUUUGGAUUUAUUACUUAUUCUGACACGUUUAUGGUAGAUCGAGCGCAAGCGGCCCGUCCACACGUAAUUGACGGCAAGCAAGUAGAUUCGAAGCGUGCAUUACCUAAACCUGAAUUAGGUAAACCAGAAGCUAGUACAACGGUGAAAAAAAUAUUUGUAGGUGGUUUAAAAGAAAAUCAUGAUGAACAGGCUUUAACAGAACAUUUCUCACAAUUUGGCAAUGUGGUUGGAGUUAAAAUUUUAACAGACAAAACCACCGGACGCAAACGUGGUUUUGCGUUUGUAGAGUUUGAUGAUUACGACGCCGUAGACAAAGCAGUUUUACAUAAAAAUCACACCAUUAAGUAUGUGUUGGUUGAUGUAAAAAAAUCUGUUUACAAACAAGAAUUAGCCAAGAAACGAGCCACUCAAGCACAGCAAGCAGGUGUACCACCAGGUGCAGCACCUGCAAACGGGUAUCAACAACCAGCAGCUCCGUAUGCCCAACAGCCUGCCUAUGGCUAUCCACCACAAAUGGGUCCCCCGGCAUACAAUGGAUGGGGCGGUUAUCCCCAAGCUGCACCACCCGCUGCUUAUCAACAACCUCCACCAGCAGCUCCCGUGGCUGGAUACGGUGCCUACACAGCGCCACCGCAAAACGGUGCAGCUCCGGGUUGGGGUGCACCCGCCGCAUAUCCAGCUCCUACCGCUUGGCCUCAAAAUGGAUACGCAGCGGCUCCACCUGCCGCGGCCCCAGUACCACCACCUACAGCUGCACCUGCUGCCGCACCAGCCGUAAAUAGUUGGAAUGGAGCCGCCGCCGCACCUACUGCAGCUGCUCCACAAAAUUUUGGUGAUUACCAGCAGUCAUAUAAUGGUGGCCCGCAAAAGGCCGGCAGCUUACAAGGAAACCGAAUGAACCCUUAUAGUGUGUCAUCGGCGCCUAGUUAUGGCAUUUAAGAUGUAUGCUUAUACAUAACAUUAAUGUACUACUACAUAGAUAACCAGAAUUAUUUUAAGAGAAACAAAUUAAAAAACAAAACAACCCAAUCCAACCCCAAGAAAGAAAGAUUUACAUAAAAUGCACUACGUACAUUACAUAGAGCAAAACAAAAGAACAAAACGCACUUCAUUAAGGAUGAUUUCCGAUAUUUAUAAUAAUUAAUAUAUGAACAUAUGUAUUUUAAAGCAAAUAACUUAAAUAAUACAUUCGCUGCUAUGUACACAUUUAUUAUGUAGCGUCCAAAAAUGAUAUAGUAGAUCGCUUAUAUAGAUGAUACUUAAUAUCGGAUAAAUAUUUCCAUAAAAGUCAGCGUGCUAACGUUUUGGUAAUAUAAAAGUAACAACAAAUACUGAGGCAAUGCAGUUCAAAAGCGACGAAAAAAUAUUUGAACGUAUUCAGCACAACUUGGAUCAAAAUUGCAGACAGCAAUUAGAACUCACCAGCAUUGAAACAAAUAUAGACAUUGAUUCAUAGAUUAAGAAACUUAUUUAAUAUUUCAGCACAGCUGUAAGAGCGCUUUAGAACUAGCAUGAAAUAGAAAACAAUUAUUAUAACGAGAGGAAUAAUUGCUGUUAUACUUUGCGUUGCAAAUGAAUUUUCUAGGGUUUUGUUUUAUUUAAUUUUGCUUUUUUUUUUACAUUGAACUAAUACAAGAGAACUGAACUGUUUGUUUAACAUCCAUGACAAAGAAGUUUUAGUUUAUAAAGAGUUAACAGUCUUUACUUUUGGCACUUUAGAAUUCCUAAGUGUAUGUUUUUUCCUUUUCUAUUAACACUUGCAAUAUUUUAAAUUAUAAUGAAGAACAUGUUCUCUUAUAGUGACUGCAAAAUUCAAAAAAAAAAAAAAAAAAAAAAAAGGCAAAUAAUAAAAGGAACACUUUUAUACUUUAAUAAUACUUAUGUGUGUGUUACAAUUUAUAUUGUAUUUAAUAGUACUAUGUAUAAUUAAAUUUAUAUUGAUUACAAUUAAAAGCUGAAUUACAAAUAAAGUAUACUAUAAUCACAUUUCUUAUGGUAUAUAAGUUUUAUUGCAUUUUUUACUUAACAACUUAUUUGCUCUUUAAGUGCAGGUAUGGAUAUCUAACAAAUUUUUGUAUGAUUAAUAGAUAUCUAAAUUCGUAUUUCAUAUUGGUAUAUCAACCUCCUUAUCAGUAUUUAUAGAAAAGUAUGUCGCAACGAAUUAUUUAUGAAACAUUUUUACUUUUCAAUUGACAAAUAAACAAACGAGAAUUUCCGGAGAUAAUAAAAAUUUAAACGAACCUUGUGUAGUCCCAUAUUUCAAAAGAUUUUUUUAAAUAAGUCUAAAAAUCCAAGUGUUUAAAACAAGAAAUAACAACUUUUGGGUCUAUUGAGCACUUUUCGUGUAAAAUGUAAAAUAUUUAUAUAAGAAAUUGUUUUAAUACAUGUUUUAUACUCUUUGUACCGUUUACUUAUCUCGCUACGCUACCUUUCUUCCGAAUCGUUUCUUACUUGUAUAGACGCUCAAUUCUCUAACACUGGUAUUUGUUUUUCUUAAAAUUUGUGUAUCUCCAUUUGCAACUGAAAUGUGCGACAGGAUUUAUAUUAUAUGCAUAUUAUACUUUAUAAUAGUUGUAACCCAACUUUUGUAUUUUCAGGUAUUAGAAAUAUUCAACUUAUCGUGUAUAUUACAGAAACAGUAUUUUCUACAAUAUUUUUAUUCGCACUGCUACCAAUAUGCCGCUAUAAAAUAUUCGAACUACCAAAUCUAUGUAUGUGUUGUGUAUAUAUGCUUUGUAUCUUGCUCCUAUGUACUACAUAUAUUCAUUAUAAGAUAUCGCAUAUACACCUAUGUACAUAUACAUAUAUGCCUAAGUAUGUAGGAUCUUGAUCUCUACUAACUCGAACUGGCGAGGGACAAUGGUAAAGCACGGUACCAGGGGACCAAAGGAAUUUAUUACUACGCAUGGUGCGAGUAGCCACUUUGGAAAAAUAAAAUUUCAAAUUGUGAAGUUGAACACAGCAAUCGUUCGCCGGAGUUGUUGUUUUUAAUGUGACGAAAGAUGACAGCGACCAAAGUGAACGAGGUAAGUAAGAGUAACUUUUUACAGACUUACCGCUCCAUCGAUCCAGUAAACUGAACAAAUUACGAUAUUUUUAUGAAAACAAAUUUGAUAAAUAUAAAAUAAAAUUGACAAUUAGUAAAAAAAAAAUAAAAAUACUGUUUUAUUGUGAGUUUAUAUUUAUUUUUUUAUAACAUCAAACAACCAGAGCACAGUGGUCUCCCUCUUAUCAAGCACCAAUAAAACUUUCUAAACAUAGAUUAGCAUUUAUUACUGAUAUGAGGAUAUCAACUUCGUAAUUGGUAUAUAGUACAUAUGUAUAUGUUACUUUUACAUACAAAUGUAAGUAUUGUCUCCCCUACUGUUAAUUUUAUCCCACACUUUCGACAUAUGGCUUAAUGUCAUUUGCAUUCACAGAUACAUAUGUAUGUAUAUCGAAACAUUUUAGCCACAUAGGGAUUGAUGAUUUCCAUUCUUUUGGUUAUUCCAUAUGAAAUAUAUUAAUAAACAAACUGCAAAUCUAGCAAUUCCGAAGCUGUAUGUAACAAGAACCCUGAUGGUCCGCCCAAGGACGCUCAACUCGCCACCAUUCCUCGAAAUUACUUCAGGAAUAUUUUCUGCCGUUACAACAACAACAAGAAGAUUUCACAAUUUAUGAAGCUAUUGAAGCCUCAAAGUGAGGUUCUAACCAACGUAAGUUAUAUAACAGCUGUGCUGAAAAGUUCGUAGACUAUGUUUGUUUUCAUAAAAUUUGAUUUUAUUAUUCAACAAGUUACUUCACAAAAAUGACUUAUGUAUCUCAUUAACUAAUAGAUAUAAUUCAACUAAUAGAAAUCACAUACUUAGAUGGCGUGGCAGGUCCUCUAGUUUUAACAUAAAGAGUAUCCUAUGUCCUUACUCUGGUUCUAAGCUACCUCCCCACCAAUUUUCAGCCAAAUCGGUUCAGCCGUUCUUGAGUUAUAAAUGGUGUAACUAAUACAACUUUCUUUUAUAUAUGUACAUAUCGUCACCUGAAAUGCAAAAUAACGUAACAACAUUUUCGGAAAUUUUCAGUGGCAUGAAUGAAACACGAAAUAAAAUGGAACAAGAGUGAAAAAAUAAUUUUAAUAUUGGUUAAAACUGGUUAAUAUAUGAGCGCAGAACCUGAAAAUGUUGGACAUAUACAAUAUUAUAUAUGUAAUUUGAAGUAGUGAGUCGUAAUCAAUAGGAUACUCAAUUUCGAAUUUUUUGAUGAUACGUUAUUUUGCAUUUCAGGUGACGAU